ACUACGGGCGGCUGCAGUGGGGAAUAUUGCACAAUGGGCGCAAGCCUGAUGCAGCCAUGCCGCGUGUGUGAAGAAGGCCUUCGGGUUGUAAAGCACUUUCAGCGGGGAGGAAGGCGGUGAGGUUAAUAACCUCAUCGAUUGACGUUACCCGCAGAAGAAGCACCGGCUAACUCCGUGCCAGCAGCCGCGGUAAUACGGAGGGUGCAAGCGUUAAUCGGAAUUACUGGGCGUAAAGCGCACGCAGGCGGUCUGUCAAGUCGGAUGUGAGAUCCCCGGGCUCAACCUGGGAACUGCAUUCGAAACUGGCAGGCUAGAGUCUUGUAGAGGGGGGUAGAAUUCCAGGUGUAGCGGUGAAAUGCGUAGAGAUCUGGAGGAAUACCGGUGGCGAAGGCGGCCCCCUGGACAAAGACUGACGCUCAGGUGCGAAAGCGUGGGGAGCAAACAGGAUUAGAUACCCGAGUAGUC
rnacentral:rRNA from 1 species